GCAAUGUGGUGAUCAAUUUAAUUGCUUACUGAGAAAAAUAUCUUAACAUUCUAUCCAACAACAUUUUAUUUGGUAUACAGUCGACGUUAAACAAAAACUAUUGAUUGUCGUCCCUAUACAUCAUGUCGUCCAUACAAUUCAUAAAAACUUGCAAGUUGUAUACCUACUAAUUUUGAGAUGCUCUUUCCAGUCGUUUAUUUUAUAUCUUUGUCUUUGUUUUAACAAUUGGUUCCAGUCUUUUAAGAUGGUAGUUUUUUCGGAAUAUGUCUUUAUUUUUGUGUUUUUUGGAAGAUGUUCACUGGCCGAGAUUUAAUUACCAUUUCACCGUAUCGUUUGUCUUCAGUGAAGCCGCUGUACGACAUGGAAGUGGUUAGUUCGCCCGUCUCCCUGGGAGAAAAUACAUGUGAAAUCCAUCGGCUAUGAAAU